rnacentral:tRNA from 1 species
UCGUGGCGGGUGACCGGGAGGUCGACUCCCGCGCCUUCGCCGCCGGAGCGGCCGGUUCGGCCUCGGCGCUGCGGGCC